UAGUAGCCGUUCUUGAAAGACAAACCGAGAUUCUGAGAAACGAGCCAAGUUCAAUACUUAUAAGUUUUCAUUCAAUUAACACUGCUGCGUAUACAUAGAAUUACAUUACCUGAGAAUUUGAAGUUGUGUCAUUCAGUUAGUUCUCUUCAACGUACUCAAUCGUUACGACAUAAAAUCUUACCGCAAAUGGUUAACUUUUUGACAGUUAAGAUUAUUGCAAUUUUUUUGCUGCUGUUGGUGAAAGCAAAUGGUCACAUGGAAAUCAGCCAACGUUUAGAUGGGACAUCCGAUCAUGUGUCUAAAGUUGGAGAUUCUGUCGAUCAUCCAGGGGCACGUAUUUCUGAAUUUGGAGAUUCUGUCUCAGCAGUAAAUAUUUCUGAGAUGAAAAAUCGACGGUCAUAUAAAUGGGUGAAAAUUUCGCACCAUCCUGGAGCACAACAUCCAUGAACUUGGCUAUCACAUGUGUAAAUGUGUUGACGAAAUAAUGAUAAAAUAGAAAUGAAUUGUGUGCACAGUGGAAAUUGAUUUGAUAGUAAACAUA